rnacentral:rRNA from 1 species
AGUGAACGCUGGCGGUAGGCCUAACACUUGCAAGUCGAACGGCAGCACAGUAAGAGCUUGCUCUUACGGGUGGCGAGUGGCGGACGGGUGAGGAAUACAUCGGAAUCUACUUUUUCGUGGGGGAUAACGUAGGGAAACUUACGCUAAUACCGCAUACGACCUACGGGUGAAAGCAGGGGAUCUUCGGACCUUGCGCGAUUGAAUGAGCCGAUGUCGGAUUAGCUAGUUGGCGGGGUAAAGGCCCACCAAGGCGACGAUCCGUAGCUGGUCUGGGAGGAUGAUCAGCCACACUGGAACUGAGACACGGUCCAGACUCCUACGGGAGGCAGCAGUGGGGAAUAUUGGACAAUGGGCGCAAGCCUGAUCCAGCCAUACCGCGUGGGUGAAGAAGGCCUUCGGGUUGUAAAGCCCUUUUGUUGGGAAAGAAAAGCAGCAGGUUAAUACCCCGCUGUUCUGACGGUACCCAAAGAAUAAGCACCGGCUAACUUCGUG